UUUAAAAUCUAAGCUGAAAUAAUUUAAUUUAUGGCUUUUCUAAUUGCGAGAACAAAAUGGAUUUUAGAUGGUUGUUUAAUGGGGUUGUGAUGUUUUAAAAUGCCCUUGAUCAUCACAGGAUUCAACAGUCCACUUCUAUUUACUUUCGGCUGGGCAUCAUCAGUGAACAUUUUAUAUGGGAAAAAAGUCAACUGAAGGUUCUUCCCUAACAAAUAUUCAAUUGAUAUGGAUCUACACUGGACUAGCCUGACGAACGUGCACUGAGAGCAGUAAUGUCAACAUUACACUGAAAUCAUGAGGUGAGGUUGAAGAUGGGAGGGACUGCAAAGCAGAAAAAGCUCGAACGUGAGCACUGUGAGAAUCAGCCGGCUCCGAAGCAGCACUACGGGAAUGUAGUCGGCGGGAUUGAUGAUGACAUGCAUCCGAACAGUAAGUUUAUCACGGUUUGAGUUUUCUUUUGUUUAGUUCUGUCUCUUUUAGCCAUCGAUGAUGACAGAUAUCCUCGCAAACAUCACUGAUUUACUGGACAAGUUAGUCAAGUGUAGCUAUAGCCCCAACUUUUUUUUUCACCGUCCCAUCCUUUCGAUCUUCCAAACCGUCUGAAACGACAAUGGCCUUGUGACCUCCUUCCUUAACCGUGGCCUCUAACUAAAUAAAAGAUAGCUCCAGCACUGGUUGGCUCCCCACUUUCUGACAAAUCUGACAAAUUUGUAUGUACUUAUCAACAUACAUCCAUAGCAAAAAGUUUUUAAGGUUAAAUUUGCCCCAAAAUAUUAUGACAGCAGUACAAAAGAUAGCAGUACUAAAUCGUCAAAUGACCUCUCUUUUCUGUAUCAUUCCAAAUUUUUCCGUUCUAUGAACUGAUUUAUUGUUCCUAAAAUCAUAAAAUUCACGCUAA
rnacentral:misc_RNA from 1 species